rnacentral:rRNA from 1 species
CAGUAGCCGCGGGAAUACGUAGGGUGCAAGCGUUAAUCGGAAUUAUUGGGCGUAAAGCGAGUGCAGACGGUUACUUAAGCCAGAUGUGUAAUCCCCAAGCUUAACUUGGGACGUGCAUUUGAAACUGGGUGACUAGAGUGUGUCAGAGGGAGGUAGAAUUCCACAUGUAGCGGUGGAAUGCGUAGAGAUGUGGAGGAAUACCGAUGGCGAAGGCAGCCUCCUGGGAUAACACUGACGUUGAGGCUCGAAAGCGUGGGGAGCAAACAGGAUUAGAUACCCCCGUAGUCCCUGUCUCUUAUAC